rnacentral:ncRNA from 1 species
GACACUCCGGAGAAUCCCGAAAGGGUGCCGAAGGUGCAACACUCCCGCUUUCCGGGAGCGAAUCUCUCAGGCAAAAGGACGGAAUG